AACGAACGCUGGCGGCAUGCCUAACACAUGCAAGUCGAACGAGACCUUCGGGUCUAGUGGCGCACGGGUGCGUAACGCGUGGGAACCUGCCCUUAGGUUCGGAAUAACUCCCCGAAAGGGGUGCUAAUAACGGAUAAUGUCUUCGGACCAAAGAUUUAUCGCCUUUGGAUGGGCCCGCGUUGGAUUAGCUAGUUGGUAGGGUAAAAGCCUACCAAGGCGACGAUCCAUAGCUGGUCGGAGAGGAGGAUCAGCCACACUGGGACUGAGACACGGCCCAGACCCCUACGGGAGGCAGCAGUGGGGAAUAUUGGACAAGGGGCGAAAGCCUGAUCAAGCAAUGCCGCGUGAGUGAUGAAGGCCUUAGGGUUGUAAAGCUCUUUUACCCGGGAUGAUAAUGACAGUACCGGGAGAAUAAGCUCCGGCUAACUCCGUG
rnacentral:rRNA from 1 species